CCCUUAGAUGUCCUGGGCUGCACGCGCGCUACACUGAUGUGUCCAGUAAGCACCUAACCUCUUCCGAAAGGAACGGGUAACCUUUGCAAAGCACAUCGUGAUGGGGAUAGAUUAUUGCGAUUAUUAGUCUUGAACGAGGAAUUCCUAGUAAGCACAAGUCAUCAGCUUGUGUUGAUUACGUCCCUGCCCUUUGUACACACCGCCCGUCGCUCCUACCGAUUGAAUGUUCCGGUGAGCUCUUCGGACUGCGCGGUCUGCAGUUUCUGCGUUCCGUGCGGAAAGUUGCGCAAACCUUAACAUUUAGAGGAAGGAGAAGUCGUAACA
rnacentral:rRNA from 1 species